AUUAAACUCUAGGGUUUCUCCCCUCUCUCUGAGUUAUCUAAUAAGAGUCUUUGGAAGAUCGUUGUGCUGAAACAGUCUAUGCAAAAUCAGAGGAAAUUUGUUAGUAUAGGAGGUGAUUUUUCAUGCCUACACCGUUAGAACAGAGGUGCUCAAAGAUAUUGCUAUUGAAUGCUUACCAAGGAAUUCAGGUUAACUGGGUUUGGUUCUGUUUCAGAGAUUUCGAAAAUUUCUGUUAUUAUUUAAAGAUUUCUGUUACUAUUUAGAGGUUCUGUUAAAAUUUCUUCCUUUCUUUAUUUUUGAAAAUCUCUCUGUAAUAAUCCCAUCCCAUACUUACUAAAGUUAUUUCCCUUCAAAGUGGAGAAGGCCAAAUAUAGACCUGUAAGCAAGUUUUUGGUGGCUUAAAAAACACAUGGAGCAGUUAGAUCACAUGUGAAAGGAGUUACACUCGAUGAACUUCAAAUUAAUCUCAACCGUAACAGCCUGAUUGCAUAAUUCAAUUAUGUUUUGAAGGAUGACAAAAGUUUUGGUUUCAGCUCAGAGGUAGAGUUUUCAAAGUGCCUCUUCAUUUAUGAAGAUGCUAAAAUUGUCUCAGAGUAAAUUAGAUCUGAGUAAGCCCAUGGAAUAUUUGCAUGACAUUAUUGAGUUCACUUGAAUAUGAGACAAUUGGGCCAAGUCAAAACUGUGCAACUUAUGGAAGUUCAAGUAACAUGUCAAACGGAGGCAUCACAAAACAUAUCGAUGAUACUGAGCACUUGGAGCAGACGACCAUCAGCCAAGAGACCUCCCCUGAUUGAAGAAGAAGCCUCGAUGACUCCUUCCCCUUGAUAGUUUUUAUUAAUGGACUGUAAAAGAGUGAAACAGUGUAUCUAGGAUAGGAGUUAGCAUAGUACCAUAGUUGAAUGGAUGAGUCAUUUCCCCUUAUAUCUAAUAUGUCAGCUAUGUAGUUGUGAACUAGGAAUCUGGGGAAGGCUGUGCUUUCCAGCCGGUGAUUAGAGAACUUCAAGUGUUUUUUGUAGUCCAUUUUUAAUUCGCAAUGAUAUCUCAUACCUGAAAUGCAAGACUGAAAGGUGUUAUAUAUAUUUUGAAUGGUAAAAGACUGUAAUUGAUAGGGUUUUCUUGGUUGUAGAUGAUACUGAGCACUUGGAGCAGACGACCAUCAGCCAAGCGACCUCCCCUGAUAGAAGAAGAAGCCUCGAUGACUCCUUCCCCUUGAUAGUUUUUAUUAAUGGGAUGUUUAACUGCCGGUAUAUAUUAGUUUCAGAUAGCUAUCAAGGUUCCGUAUCAAACAAACUUAUUCCAGCCCUGCUUUCUCAGGGUAAGGGGGUGUAGGCUCAGUAAUAUUUGCACCAGCUCGGUAUUCAGGUGGAUUUCAAAUUUGGCGAGGUAUUACUUCUAUUCUCCGUCUCAGAGUUUUUCCUAAAUGGUUUGUCAACCAGCAAUUUUUUAAUUCUAAUAGGAUUAAAGCGUAAGAAUUGCCAACUACAAUCUGUGAAACACGUAGGGAUAAAUUUGAGGAUCUUGGUUUUCAUCCAAGCUUUAUGUUGUGCUAUGAAGAUGCGCACCUUCUAGGAGAAUCAGUUUAUUACUCCCUGCAAAUAACAUCCAGGAAAUGGCUAAUGAGGUUGCUAUAGGGUCAGUUGGCAAUUGAUUGUAUUUGGUAUACUCAAAUGAUGGUAUUUAUUAACAUAACUUAGUGCUUUUCGUUAUAUGAUGGAUUCGAUGUAACAAUUAAUAAAAAAAUUCAACUAUGUAGAAAAGAAGGUUUUAUAAUUUUUUAAGUUGUUGGCUUUCAUUUUCUAAAUACUUGCAGUCCAAUGCACGAAAACUCAGCGUUUCGUGGUGAUUUUCUUGCAAUUCAGCGAAAAAUAUUAAUGAACUUGGUUAUAUGGACGACAAUUUUGUGAUUUCUCAACAAGGUAUGUAUAUGACCACUCUCAUUUAUCUCUAUAACCCUUAUCAUGCAUGCCUUUUACUUAUGGUAAUGUUUCUUAUGUGAUUUUAACAUAUAUACAAAGAUUAAAAUUUGUUUCAAUGUAUCUGUCAGUAACCUCUCAAAAAUGUAGAGGGCAGUUGGAUUCUUCUGCUUAAAAUAUGGUCCCUGUAUUUUCAUUUUGGCCUCUUUCAGAUGGGAUUCUUCCAUGAAGGUGACCAUGUUCAUAUAAUUUUAUUUUGGUUUUGGACCAUUCAUUAAAUGUCAUUCGAUUUUGCUCCAAUGCAGAAUAUAGUUUCUGCAACAUUUUUUUGGUUACGUUGGAGGUCUUCCCCGAAAGAGAGUGAUGCAGUUGAGGAAUCUAGAUGGAACAUGCAACCAACAAUUUGAUCCAGAUGAUAAAAAUGAUGGUUGCUGAGUGGUUCCAUCAGCAGAUGAGUAAAAUUCAAAAGAUCUCUGAUGUUGAUAAUUUGGGUAGUUUAUUUUUCUCAAUCAUCAUGGGCGCAUACCUAUUAGUGUUCGAAUUCGUCCAAAUGUCCACUGCUUUGAAUCGAAAUGUGACAAGCUUUCAUUCUGAAUUCAAUUACUCAUCCAGAAAGGUCAUGAACUCAUGGUGUAGACGUAGAGAUGGAGCAAAUCUCUGCCUUAUUUUCUCUGGCUUCAAAAAGCUUAGCCAUCUCUUUGGCUUCAGUAAGCUUUACCGAUUUUUCUUUUUCUCAUUUAAUGCCACUUUUCUUUUUUCACUUUGUGGUAUUUAUAGUGUUUGUAUCUAUUUUCACCUUUCGUCAAGAAUUGUUCAUUUCGUGUAUUUAAAAAUAUAGACGAUUCGAAUACGUAACAUAAAAUAAUAGAUAGAAAGUUUUCCAUAAUCUAAUUCAUUUACUUAAAUCCAUUUCACUACAAUGAAAUCGGUAAUGAUUCCAUGACUUUAAUGUAAACCGAAACGUUUUAGUUGUUUUAGUUAUGCCCUCUUCUAGAUGGUGUUGAACGUCUGAAGGAUACAUCUUUCUUUUACUUGCAGGUAAAUGUCAGAUUUGUGGAUCCAUAUGCAAGGUAACAUUCAUCUUUAGAUUUGGUUUCAACUGCUUAUAGUCUUUGAUCCAUAAAGGACUAGGUUAGCUAUUUUAAACUAUCAACUCAAAACAAUAAGCGUUAAUAUUUCCAAAUUAUGACCGGUGAGUAAUUUGUGUUUUUUAUUUUAUGUUGGGACAUUUCGUUUCAGUUUCUUUUAUCUCAUUAAUCAUGAGAUUUUUCCUACAAACAAUCUUCUUAUUGUAUAGUGCAUGCUUUGCUCUUAAAGCAGUAAAUGGUGACACCAGGUAGUGUUGUCUUCAUUCUUCAAGAAAAGGUAAAAAAGCUGAUCAAUGUAAGUUGCAUAUGAGGUUAUUUUUGUAAAUAUUUUUGUAAAUACUGGAAAUAUUAUUUUUGUAAAUAUUGUUAGUAUUAUACUUGG